ACGGGCGGUGUGUACAAGGCCCGGGAACGUAUUCACCGCGGCAUGCUGAUCCGCGAUUACUAGCGAUUCCAGCUUCACGCAGUCGAGUUGCAGACUGCGAUCCGAACUGAGAACAGAUUUGUGGGAUUGGCUUAACCUCGCGGUUUCGCUGCCCUUUGUUCUGUCCAUUGUAGCACGUGUGUAGCCCAGGUCAUAAGGGGCAUGAUGAUUUGACGUCAUCCCCACCUUCCUCCGGUUUGUCACCGGCAGUCACCUUAGAGUGCCCAACUGAAUGCUGGCAACUAAGAUCAAGGGUUGCGCUCGUUGCGGGACUUAACCCAACAUCUCACGACACGAGCUGACGACAACCAUGCACCACCUGUCACUCUGCCCCCGAAGGGGACGUCCUAUCUCUAGGAUUGUCAGAGGAUGUCAAGACCUGGUAAGGU
rnacentral:rRNA from 1 species